CACAUGCAAGUCGAGGGGCAGCAUGGUCUUAUCUUGCUAAGGCCGAUGGCGACCGGCGCACGGGUGAGUAACACGUAUCCAACCUGCCGUCUACUCUUGGACAGCCUUCUGAAAGGAAGAUUAAUACAAGAUGGCAUCAUGAGUCCGCAUGUUCACAUGAUUAAAGGUAUUCCGGUAGACGAUGGGGAUGCGUUCCAUUAGAUAGUAGGCGGGGUAACGGCCCACCUAGUCUUCGAUGGAUAGGGGUUCUGAGAGGAAGGUCCCCCACAUUGGAACUGAGACACGGUCCAAACUCCUACGGGAGGCAGCAGUGAGGAAUAUUGGUCAAUGGGCGAGAGCCUGAACCAGCCAAGUAGCGUGAAGGAUGACUGCCCUAUGGGUUGUAAACUUCUUUUAUAAAGGAAUAAAGUCGGGUAUGGAUACCCGUUUGCAUGUACUUUAUGAAUAAGGAUCGGCUAACUCCGUGCCAGCAGCCGCGGUAAUACGGAGGAUCCGAGCGUUAUCCGGAUUUAUUGGGUUUAAAGGGAGCGUAGAUGGAUGUUUAAGUCAGUUGUGAAAGUUUGCGGCUCAACCGUAAAAUUGCAGUUGAUACUGGAUAUCUUGAGUGCAGUUGAGGCAGGCGGAAUUCGUGGUGUAGCGGUGAAAUGCUUAGAUAUCACGAAGAACUCCGAUUGCGAAGGCAGCCUGCUAAGCUGCAACUGACAUUGAGGCUCGAAAGUGUGGGUAUCAAACAGGAUUAGAUACCCUGGUAGUCCACACGGUAAACGAUGAAUACUCGCUGUUUGCGAUAUACUGCAAGCGGCCAAGCGAAAGCGUUAAGUAUUCCACCUGGGGAGUACGCCGGCAACGGUGAAACUCAAAGGAAUUGACGGGGGCCCGCACAAGCGGAGGAACAUGUGGUUUAAUUCGAUGAUACGCGAGGAACCUUACCCGGGCUUAAAUUGCAGAUGAAUUACGGUGAAAGCCGUAAGCCGCAAGGCAUCUGUGAAGGUGCUGCAUGGUUGUCGUCAGCUCGUGCCGUGAGGUGUCGGCUUAAGUGCCAUAACGAGCGCAACCCUUGUUGUCAGUUACUAACAGGUUCCGCUGAGGACUCUGACAAGACUGCCAUCGUAAGAUGUGAGGAAGGUGGGGAUGACGUCAAAUCAGCACGGCCCUUACGUCCGGGGCUACACACGUGUUACAAUGGGGGGUACAGAGGGCCGCUACCACGCGAGUGGAUGCCAAUCCCCAAAACCUCUCUCAGUUCGGACUGGAGUCUGCAACCCGACUCCACGAAGCUGGAUUCGCUAGUAAUCGCGCAUCAGCCACGGCGCGGUGAAUACGUUCCCGGGCCUUGUACACACCGCCCGUCAAGCCAUGGGAGCCGGGGGUACCUGAAGUGCGUAACCGCGAGGAGCGCCCUAGGGUAAAACUGGUGACUGGGGCUAAAU
rnacentral:rRNA from 1 species